AGCAGCCGCGGUAAUUCCAGCUCCAAUAGCGUAUAUUAAAGUUGUUGCAGUUAAAAAGCUCGUAGUUGAACUUCGGGGUCUACCCAUUGGUCAGGCUUAAUUGUCUGCACUGGUGAGAUGGAUCUCUACCUUCUGAGGAACUUUCAUGCCAUUUAUUUGGUGUGAUGGGAAAUCAGGACUGUUACUUUGAAAAAAUUGAGUGUUUAAAGCAGACUAUCGUCUGAAUACAUUAGCAUGGAAUAAUGAAAUAGGACGGACUGAUUCUAUUUCGUUGGUUUCUAGGAUCACCGUAAUGAUUAAUAGGGAUAGUUGGGGGCAUUAGU
rnacentral:rRNA from 1 species